CCCUCCAAUUCAAAGUAGGUCAGGCCCAGGGGCUUUAAGGAGGGGACAGAAUAGGAGAGUUCCAAGCGGAAGGAAGAAACUGGAAUAUCUAGAUAAGGGAUAGCAAACUUUCUAGAGCUUUCAAUGGUACAGUCCACUGCAGCACAGGUGCCAUAGAUUUGCCAACACUGAUCUAGAUGAUCUUCCCAAUCGCUCUCAACAGCUCCAGCAGUAUAAGAGAUAACAAAAGCCAGGAGAUAACAAAAGCCAGGAGGUGAAUUCCAGACAGAAACGGGGGAAGAUAACAUUUUUAUACCUGAAAUCUUUUUGUGUAACAGAUUAAUCUGUUUAAGAUUAUUUAAGGAUACUGGGCUAAAGAAUGGCUUCUACUGAGGUAAGAAAAUUUUUCUCUUGCUUUUUGUUUGUUUGAUUUUAAAGGCCAUGGGGAAUCUAAACCCAAAGAUUUAUGGGGAGAAAGGGAUUUCAAAAGAGACAUGCACUGUGAUGACGUCUGAAAAACUUAAGUUUCUAAACUGUCCCCAAAGAUGCCUUACAAGACUUUAAGUUAAAAGAGGUUUAAAAAAAUGACUCCAGGGGUCGGGGAUUUAGCUCAGUGGUUCCGCUGCCUGCCUGGCAAGCUCAAGGACCGGUGUUCAAUCCCUGGUACCAAAAAAGGGGGUGGGGGGGAAGACUCCAAUUAGAAUCUCUUACUAGUAAAAAAUAAAAUAUGGUAGGAUUUUUAUUACUUCUUUUAGCACAACUUGGUUAGUACCAGCAAAUGUACAGUAUAAGGAGAGCUUUACUGUACUCAGUAAAGUUUACUCCUGUCUUUUCUAAUUCUUGCUUGUGGGAUCCGUUACUAACUCCCUGAAACAAGUAACCAAUCACUCUGUUUCAAAGUGGCAGAAACAGGAGAACUAGGUUAUCAAACACAGUCGAUGAUUUCAGGGCUCCAAAUAACCUGUUGUUUUUACUGUCCCCACCUGCCCACCAAGGAUGGCAGACACCCACCGCCACUGGAUGUGCCACUUGUCCCUCCUGCCCCUCUCCCUCCACGUCACCGCACACAGACUCAGAGACCUAAGUGUCCACAGUUCCCGAGCCGGAAAAUACAAAGAGUAAUCCCAGUGGGAACCAAUCAACCAACCCUUAAGCAAUUCAGGGUUGCCUUCCCUUAGCCCGCAGGCAAGGAGAGAGGAGGAAGAGGAACCGAGUUAAAGACAGCCCAGAUCCACACACACAUAGACCUAAGCAAGUAAACAAAUAAGGCCCAGUUCUCCAGUUCUACCAGCCUUCGGACCAGGGCUAGAAGAUCCCUCACCUCUGAAUUUUUCAAGCUUGCUCCCAAGGUCAGGAAUUUCGCCACACUGUCAUUCAGCCCUGAGGCAGCCCUUCCCACCCAGUCUGUCAGAGUUGGCCUCUCCCGGAAUCUCCAGCGCUGAGCGGCUCUCAGAACCCUUCUAGCUCGGGCGCGUGGGGGCGGGUUGUCUCCGAGGGUACACCUUAAAAUUUUGCCUCCCUCCCCGGAACCAGGGCCAAAGUGUCCGCGACGCCUGAAGCCCAAGGGCCAGGCUGCCGCCCUCAGGACAGCGCCCUCCGGAUUUCG